AAAUUCACAAUUGCUAGAUUUGCUGCUUCGCAACAUUCCAAUGGAUGAAACUACGUCGUAUCCUCCUAUUGAACCAUCCAAUUUCGACCUUAUAGUUAUCGGCACCGGGUUACCGGAAUCCAUCCUCGCCGCCGCCGCCUCCGCCGCCGGAAAAUCAGUCCUCCACUUAGACCCUAACCCUAAUUACGGGUCCCACUACGCAUCACUUACACUUAACGAAUUCACUUCAUACAUCCAAUCUCAAUCAUCGCAAUCCCCAAUUCCCGCAAUUUCACGACCCGAAAUUGAUUCGGGUUAUACCCGGGUCGGUAUUUCGACCCGGCCGGUUUACUCGUCUGUUGAGAUUAAAUCUUACGGGUCGGAGCCAUUGGAACAAUCUAGGAAGUUUAACAUUGAUUUGAGUGGGCCUAGGGUUUUGUUAUGUGCUGAUGGUAUGAUUGAUUUGAUUUUGAAGUCUGAAGUGAAUCAGUAUAUGGAGUUUAAGGGUAUUGAUGGGAGUUUUAUGGGUGAUGGUGAGGGUAAUUUGGAGAAUGUACCUGAUUCGCGUAGCGCGAUAUUUAAGGACAGGAAAUUGAGUUUUACUGAGAAGAAUCAGUUGAUGAGAUUCUUUAAGAUGGUACAAGGGCAUCUUGGUGGUGGGGAGAGUGAGAGGAUACCGGAGCAGGAUUUAGAGAGUUCGUUUGUGGAGUUUUUAAGCAAAAUGGGGCUCUCGAAAAAGCUAAAAUCGAUUAUUCUAUAUGCAAUAGCAAUGGCAGAUUAUGAUCAAGAGAUUGGGGAUUUGUCCAAAAGUGUUCUCAAGACAAAAGAUGGUAUCGAUCGGUUGGCCCUUUAUCACUCAUCCGUUGGCAGGUUUCCUAAUGCACCUGGUGCUAUGAUUUACCCCAUUUAUGGUCAAGGGGAACUUCCACAGGCCUUUUGUCGUCGUGCUGCAGUCAAAGGAUGCAUUUAUGUUCUUCGGAUGCCUGUUAAUUGUCUCCUUAUGGACAAGGCUAGUGGGAGUUACAAGGGUGUUUGCUUGGCUUCUGAACAAGAAUUGUUCAGCCAUAAACUGAUAUUAGCUCCAUCUUUUGUGGUUGAAUCACCACCGCCUCAUUCUUCUCCUGAUGCUCUGCAAAAUGUAUGUGGUGAUUUUGGCUCGCGAAAUAUAACUGAGAAGCUGGCUAGGAGUAUAUGCAUCUCAAAGCACUCUUUGAAAUUGGAUGUAGCCAAUUGUCUGGCAUUUUUUCCUCCUCGAUCUCUCUUCCCUGAGCAGGUCACAGCAGUCCGUGCGCUUCAGUUGAGUAGCAAUGUAGCUGUUUGUCCCUCUGGAAUGUAUUUGACUUAUCUUUCAGCUAUAUGUGAUGACGAUGUUCAGGGGAAGAAGCUACUAAAUGCAGCCAUCAAUGUGCUAUUUCACAUUCCUGUUUCUGGAAGUUCUGGAAAUAAUGAUUCUGCUGAGGACCAAAGUGAAACUAGGGAUGCAAAACCUGCCUUACUUUGGAGUGUCUUGUAUACUCAAGAGCUUGCUAAGUUUCAGGAUGUACUAGAUAACAUCAUUUGUACCCCUACGCCAGAUGGGAGUCCAUAUUACCAUGAUCUUCUGGGUGCUACAGAAAAGAUAUUUCAAGAGCUGUAUUCUGGUGAAGAAUUCUUUCCCAAGUCAACCUCACCGGAGGAGGGUGCUGGCCAAGAGCUCGAGGACUAGACACCAGUAUUGACGUUGCUGGAUAUGUUUCCGUUUUAGCUGACAGAGGGGCGGCUAAAUAAUACAUUUUGCAUUGACAGUGUCAACAAGAAUAUCGUUGAAGUGGUUUCUUUCCCUGUAUGCCAAUAUUGAAUGUUCUAUUCGAGAUACUUUGUUGUUGUAAGAGUAAUAUCAGUAGUUUUCGAGUUUCUUCGGCCUACAACGAACAGGAUUGAAUGUAGAGGUUUGGCAAUUAUUUUCUUUUGCAAUUUUUGAUUUGAGACUUCCCAAGACGAGAGUUUUUUUUAGGAAAAUCUCUAAUUACAUCUUGUACAAUAAUGUAGGCUGGCUUUCGUAUU